AGUGUAGCACUUGCUAUGUUACGGCCAUAGAGGAGGUACUAUUGGGUACCCUACACUU
rnacentral:tRNA from 1 species